AGGUUGUGGGACGAUUUGCUACGGAGGUAACAAACUCAUCGGAGUGUUUUCACGGCCGAUUUCAUCCUCUGGGGAAAGUCCCCGGACACUGCGGCAGAGAGUGCCAGCCUUAAGGGCCAGUCCCUUCACCGCUCGAACGUUGGCGAAGACGACCUCGGUCGGAGCUGUAAGUGAGGGAGGUGGAGACUAUCGUCACAGCACAGAUAUGCAAAUGGCAACUUGUCCUGGACAAGAAUGCUAACUCAACGGGGCUUAUGUUCCUGCAAGCC
rfam:Guillardia theta CCMP2712 unplaced genomic scaffold GTITHscaffold_30, whole genome shotgun sequence.